rnacentral:rRNA from 1 species
AUGGACCACGGGUCCCCCUUCAAGGAGCUAGCACGCCUCAAGAACAGGAGGAAUGCGGGUGGGUUAAACAUGGUGACCAUGGCCGCACUACUCGUGGCCGCCAUCGCGAUGGCAACUGUUGUGCCAGUCACGAGCAUGGGCAUCACUGGUCAAGACCUAGAGUCGGAGGAGUCACUAUGGGAUCUCUAUGAGCGCUGGUGCGCGUUCAAUGAGGUGGCGCGUGAGCCCGAUGAGAAGUUGAUGCGCUUUAGCAUCUUCAAAAAUGUGCGCUUCAUUCAUGAGAAUAACCAGGGCGACGCGCGCUCCAAGCUCGGACUCAACAUUUUCGCCGACAGGACCCAUGCCGAGCUACCCAAAGUCGAAGCUGAUUGCACCUCGGCGGGCCACCUCCCGUACCACUUCGAUUACAUGCCUCAUACCGCAAUCACCAACGAGGACCUCCCUGACCGCGUUGAUUGGUGGGACCACCACGCGGUGACAAGCGUCAAGAAUCAAGGGCAGUAUUGCGGCGCAUGUUGGGCCUUCGUAGCCGCUGGCGCUGUGGAGGGCAUAACUGCUAUCAAGACCGGCAAGCUGGAGGAUCUGUCGCCGCAGAUGCUCGUCGACUGCGACAAAGCUAACCUUGGUUGCAGAUGUGGCGAGUCGUGGCGAGCCUUGGAUUUCAUAAAAAAGAACCGUAUAGCGACAGACAGGGCUUACCCGUACGACGGCAUUCAGCGUCGGUGCCACAUGAGGGCGGAUGGCCUUUCCCGCUUUGCUUCCAUAGAAGGGUUCCAUGUAGUAUACAGCAGCGAGAGGGCCUUGAUGGCGGCGGUGGCGGUCCAGCCCGUCAUAGUGGAAAUCGGGCUCGACAUAUACUUCCACUAUUACAGCGAGGACAUGGGCAUGUACACUGGUCCGUGCAACAAAACCAUCACCCACGCCGUCUUGGUGGUCGGCUAUGGCACUGACGCAUUCCUACGAAGAUACUGGAUCUUGAAGAACUCGUGGGGCACCAAAUGGGGUCAUGCAGGGUACAUGUACAUGGCGCGCGAUGUGGGAGGCCCUCAGGGCCUAUGCGCCAUCCUAUCCUUCCCGAUCGUUCCGGUGUGGAGACCUAAGCACAGCAGAUAA